rnacentral:rRNA from 1 species
UGCCAGACUCCUACGGGAGGCAGCAGUGGGGAAUAUUGCACAAUGGGGGGAACCCUGAUGCAGCGACGCCGCGUGGGCGAGGAAGUAUUUCGGUAUGUAAAGCCCUAUCGGCAGGGAAGAAGAAAUGACGGUACCUGAAUAAGAAGCACCGGCUAAAUACGUGCCAGCAGCCGCGGUAAUACGUAUGGUGCAAGCGUUAUCCGGAUUUACUGGGUGUAAAGGGAGCGCAGGCGGCACGGCAAGCCUGAUGUGAAAGCCCGCGGCCCAACCGCGGGACUGCAUUGGGAACUACCGGGCUGGAGUGCCGGAGAGGUAGGCGGAAUUCCUAGUGUAGCGGUGAAAUGCGUAGAUAUUACACAGAACACCGAUUGCGAAGGCAGCUUGCUAGGCCGGAUCUGACACUGAUGCACGAAAGCGUGGGGAUCGAACAGGAUUAGAUACCCGAGUA